AUCUCUCUCAAUAAACCUAGCCGUCGGCAUCACCGAGAAGAUUCGUUUGGAGCUGAAAUUAAAUCGAUCAAUCUCCAGAGAGAGAUAUUUGUUAUGAGAUGGCAUUAGGAUGGGAAUCACAGGGAACAAAGGAAGGUGUUACGAGUUCUGGAGAUUUCAGUGAAUGUAUGUCAAAUUGUAGAGAACCUAAAGAUUGUGCUAAAAAGGGUUUUUGAUGGAUUUAUGCUGCAGAAGGAAGUGAGAUGCUAAGGAAAGAGAAAGUUUAUUAUUCGAAUUGUAAGUAUUCUGUAUUCUAAAUUUACCAAUGGAGAACUCAGAGCAGAGAGACAAAGAGAGAGAAUGAAGUUUGCCUUUUGUAUUUGAAUAUUGAGCGUUCAAGAUUUUUCAGGUAAGUAUCAUCUUCUUAAUUAUUAAGCAACAAAGUGUGUACCUUCCAUAAGGACCAUAACUAAUUCCAACCCACAUUGACUGAUGGUAAGUUCAUCCCUGCUAUUUACUUUUAGGUUAUGAUAUUUAGCUGCCUGUUGUUUACCCUUUUUAAUACUGAGUGACUGGGGAAGGUGAUUAUCUGAGUUUGCGCAACUCCUGAUAUUUUUUGUCCUACCAUUUUUCUAUCCUUCGAGAUCAUGCUGUACCUAUGGUUCUUGCACUGCUCAUCCAUCAGGUUUGCUAACAUAAGUAGAUAUGUCAUCAUUUUAUUUUAGGAUUGAUCAAAGUCAGCUAUAUGGAAAAUUAUCUGUGCUUUUUUCUUUAGAUUUUUAGUUUAAUUUCCGUUAACCGUGUUUUUCUUUGCUACAAUAGAGAAAAAUAAACAGGUUGGUUGAGGAAUACAUAUCCAAUUGGGAGAGAAUAGUCAACUUUCAACAAAUGCUUUUAUGAUAAAUGGCCACCAGAAUUGAGCUUUUUUGCUUCCAAGUAAUGCAAGCACAUAUGAGGAGCUUUGUAUGUGCAAUCUAACGAAGGUCCAAGUGAUAGCAAGGAGUACUUAUUACUAUCGUCCAAAGAAUGGGAGAAGGAGAAACACUACAUCCUAGAGUUUGGUGGCACUCCAGCAAGCAAGUAAUGUUCCUCUUCAACUGUUUAUUUCCAGAAAGAAAUUCAUGCUUUCAUCUCCCAGCUCAGAAUUUGAAUUAUUUGAUAGAAAAAUGAUAAAAUCCAAUUUAUGGUUUUGUUUUAAUUUGUUAUUCAAAAUUUGCUUACAAAAAGUCAAUCUUUUGGGUAUUAUCAUAAAACUAAUGUACAUAUAUUGGAUAGGCCAUUGUAUAAUGGAAUGUAAAUUAUCAUCAUCAUCUAGCGAGGCACAGGAAAAGGUAAACUCUUAUUAAUGUCGUAGCGCUCUUUUAAUUAUUACUUUCUUCAAACUGUUUAUGAUAGUUUUGAAGAUGUUAAAUAUGUGUUUUCUUUUUAUAAGAGUUUAGAGAUAGGUUAGUAACCAAAAUAUGAGGAAACAGAAAGUUGAGCAUUAGUAACCAUACUCAUAUCUGAUCAGAGAAGGCCACUCCUAUGUGAGGUAUAAUCUAAGAAACUCUAACAUAUUAUGCCCAGAGCAUUGUAUUAUUGUGUCAACUUAUACAUAUGAUUAGUAGCAUAUGAGGAUUGUGAAUUUCGAACAUGGUUUCUGUAUUAAACUUUUUGGCUGUAUUUUCUUGGUUUUUCAUGUUCACUUUUCUAGAGUUCAUCUACAUGGUAUCAGUGUACUUACAACCUUGCUACCCACUGCUGUAGCUUUGUUGUAAUAUACCAAUAGUUAAAACAGUUUAUUGUAUUGUAAUAGCUUUGCGCUACUCAUGGUUUAAAACAGUUUCCCUUUGCAUUGUAUUGUGUAACAACAAACUGACAAAAUAGAAUCACUUUAUGUGACCGACAUCAAUAUUUGAUUAAUUUCAAUAGUUAAUUUGAUACUUUGAAUAGGUAUAAGCAUCAGUUUUACCCUUAAUUGAAUUCGACGGCCAAGAAAGUUCAGUAAUGUCAAGGGUGCGUGGGUCAACAGGAAUAAGGUAGGGUGGUGGUCUGGGACGUCUGGAAACGUCCGGAUAUUCCGAAAUGUUCCUUAGCGUAGGAUCUAAAGCACUAAAAAUAGUCUUUUCAUGUGUGUUAUUUAUCUGCUUCAUUUUUCUUUUUCUGCUACUAUGAUUCUUCUCCUCACUCGCGAAGAAACCCGGAUUCUUGAUUAAAUGGUUUUAUUUUUGAGAUUUCAGUUUCCUUUAUGUUUGCAGGAAAUUUAGGAGGGAAAGUUGAAUCACAAAGACGAUGAGAGGAAACGAAGAAGGAGUGUUUAGGUUAAAAGAAUUGAAGCUCGGUAAGACAGAACUGCAAAAUGAGUCGAGGUUCAUCUGUUGAAAGGCUCUCUCUGGGAUCAUAUGCAAGUAAUCAGUUGAACUGCCUAAGUGGUAAGUUUGUAGUCCAUAUAUGGCGAGGCAAAGAAAUAAAUGAUUCUCUAUAAUAUUCAGAGAUUUGACUGCAUGAUUAGAUUAUUUCCGAAUUGUUAGAUUAUGCAUUUACAUUCAAAUUUUUGUGACUUCUGAGCACUAAGUAUGGCGAGGAAAAGAAAUUAAUACUUCUCUUUACGAAUGUGUAUAAUUACCUUUGUUAUGGUUUGAAAUUUUGAGGAGCAGAAGUUAUGGUCUGAUUGUUCAGGAGCUCUAUUUUUUUUUUAGUAUGUUCUAAUAAUUUCUCUCAUUAUUUUGAAAGAAAAAUGUUGUUAGUUAUUGAGUAGACCAAGCAUUUCACUGACGCCCAAAAUUUUAGUAUAUAGGCAUACAAAUGUUGGUCUUCACUAAGUCUCUGUUUGGCCACAGCAUGUGACUCUCUGAACAUAUGUAAUACAAAAAUUUUAUGAACCUGUAUAAUAUAUGUUGUUAUUAGAAGUAUUGUUCGCUAACAUUCUUCUUGCUUCUCCUUUGCAGUUUGAUCUGUUGUUAAUAUGGCUAUUAUCCAGAAAUAAUUUAUGUUUUUGGCUAUUAUGUGCAAUUCUUUCCUUUGUGUGUUUUCCUACUAUAGCAAUUAGCAAUUUAUGGGUAAUCGGAAACUGCUGUUGUUUCUCAAAGAUCAUUUUUUUUGAAUUAUUAUUCAUAUUCAGCACUAAUGAGCACAUAGAAUCUCACUGAAAAAACAUUUUGGGUGAGUUGAAAUACCAUUUAUAGCUUAGUUGCGGGAAUUUUUCUGAAAAAACAGAUUUAUCAGUGGAAUUGACCAAGAGAAUCUCAAUAAGCUUAAGAGGAUAAUACCAAGUAGAACCAACACUUUCUUCUGAGAUAGAAAUGUUACCCUUGCAAAAAAAAAAUUAAAAUUAUUGGUAUCAUUGUUGACCAUUUACUAUUACUGUAGAAAAUUUAAGGAAAUGGUGGCUAAGCUACUCAUCUGUGCAGGUUUAGCUGCAACAACCAGUAAUGGUUACUAUUAACCUGGAAGUUGCAAAGAAAGGGAUGGAAAAUUUAUCUAUCUUAGGACCAAAGAACUAAAACCCGAUCUCUGAUACCACUGUUCCCAUUGACAUGGAAUUGUACAAUUACUAAGAAAGUUCAAAAUCUCUUUUAUUAUUUUAAUUCUAUGUUGUUGUGAUGUUGUAAAAAUUCUACAGUAUAAUAACCCAAAUACAUGAUUAUGAAUCUGAUCGCCAUUCCUCACGUGUUGCUACUUGCCAUCUUAGCUCAGUUGGAAGAGCUCAUGGGUUUGAACCAUGUGGUUGUGGGUUCGAUUCCCACAGAUGGCGGGGGUCCCUAUGGUUACACAUGUUUCGUGCAGCUAAUCUUACUUGGUUCUUUUGCGGUACCAAUGCUUAUUACUUAUCACCUUUCUAAUUAAUAGGCUUACCGAUGCCUAACUGAGGUAGUUCAUUGUCUCUACAGAUCAGCUGUUGUAGUAUUAUUCCUUUUCAUCAGACCCCUUAUACUUUAUUUACAUGGUUAUAAAUUGUUCAUUUUAUAUAUUAAGUUUCACGGUGCUUAAUUACACGUCUAAGGUUUGAAUGAAGCGUCUUAGAUUGUUUUUAGAUGUACCCAAACGCUAAUAUUUUUUCCCUUACAGGUAGAAAUGUCAACGGUGGGUUCUCAGAGACAGGUGGACAGGGUCAUGGCAGAAGUUCUGGAAACCCUAUGCUUUAAAGCUAACAUCACUUUUCUUGGUAUUUUUGCAGGAUCUUGAGUGUAUGUAUAACCAAGUGUAAGUUUCUUAAACUGUACGACAAUUGCAACUUAAAACGUCUCUCGCAAGUGGGAUGUGCCGCAAUUUAUAGAAUAGGGGUGUAUGCAAGUAAGGUAUUAGCAGACUUUCCUACUCUUAGAAGGUUAAGUUUGGUGUUCUAAAAGAACAGGCAUGAAUUAGUUCUCUAGCAAUAAAUAAUCCUUGGUUUCCUUAAAAACUUUAUGCUUUUUAGGCUUUAUUUCCCAGACAUAAUAUAACAUAUUUUAAUCGAUCACUAACCAUAAAUUUAACCUACCUGUUAGCAAUAAAGGCAUUUUCUCCCGAUUUUAGUGAACCACAUGUAUGAUUUACCUAUUUCUUAAUCGAUCACUAGCCAUAAAAUUGAUCUACCUAUUUUUUUGUCCAGAAAUUAACCUCAUUGGUUAUUUCUAGCAGACCUGAUUUUAAUGUCCUGCCAAAUUCAAGCCAGAACUUAAAUUUUGCACAUAAUUUACUUAGCUGAAAUUUUAUUGGUAUUCAAGUUUUAUUUGUUGAUAAGUUGUUGAUAAAGAGGCCAUCGUAGGUGUUUUUUUCCAAAAUUUGUACUGCCUCGCCACAUCCAUGGUAUGAAACCUAAAAUGCAAAAAGAUUUUUCGAGGAAAUCUGUUUAGAGACUAUCUAUGAUUAGCAGAUGUGUAUGUAGUUAUUGCAGCUUUGUUUUUCAAUUUAUCAGUAGUGUGUAUAUGUUAUAGUGUGGUGCAUUUUCCUAGGUAAUUAAUAUGUCUUUGUGAAAAUGAUUAAGCUAUGGACAUUUCUACUAAUGGUCGUGCCGUGAAGUACAUGUUCAGGUAUGUUAGCAAAGGAACAGAGCGAGUGGGUACCAAAUCAAAGCCUGAGGAACAUAUUUACUUGAGCAAUGAUACAGUGGAACAGAAAGCGCCCGAGGUAAUUACUGACAUUGAUGUCUCAGCAUGCGAUGGCAGAUUUCUAUAAAGAAGAUAUAAAAAGGAAGAAUAUAGAGCGAAGAACGUACAAGUUUGGAUAUCGACAGAAGAAGGAAAAGAUAGAGCAAAAUACGUACAAGCUUGGAUUUGGGGUGAUGACAUCCUUGGAGAAAGCCAAGAUAUCAAUAGAUGAAAUGUUUUUGGGGGAACUUGAAAUAAUAGCUGACUACACAGCGUAGGCGAAAUCGUACUUCUGUGUAGAAAGAAUAUGGGGAUGGUCUCGAUCUAACGAAGAGAUAAUAAGAUGUGGGGAUUGUUUCGAUCUUACGAAAAGAUGCUAGAAGAAGAUGCUGCUAAGAAGGUGAAAGGAAGAAAUUUUUUGUUGAUACGGCCAUGAAUCUACCGAUUUUUUAUUAGUACUGCAAUGACUGUCUUUUUUCCGGGUGUUAUUCAGUGAUUAUUCUUCAACCAUUUUGGAUGUACUCGAUGCUGGAUCUCUAUCCUUUUCGAUUCUUGAACUUUAUUACUAUCUUCUUUGUUGGUUUGGUUUGUUAGUCUUUGAAUUAUGUUUUGUGAAAUUACAUACAUGACUUUGAUAGAAUGUGUGGA